rnacentral:rRNA from 1 species
AAUCAACGCUGGCGGCGUGCCUCAGACAUGCAAGUCGAACGAUUAAAGCUCUCUUCGGAGAGUGUAUAGAGUGGCGCACGGGUGAGUAACACAUAAGUAAUCUACCUUUGAGUGGGGAAUAACGUCCGGAAACGGACGCUAAUACCGCAUAAUGCAGCGGCAUCGCAAGAUGACAGUUGUUAAAGAUUUAUCGCUUGAAGAGGAGCUUGCGGCAGAUUAGCUAGUUGGUAAGGUAAUGGCUUACCAAGGCUACGAUCUGUAACCGGUCUAAGAGGAAGGUCGGUCACACUGACACUGAAUAACGGGUCAGACUCCUACGGGAGGCAGCAGUCGGGAAUUUUGGGCAAUGGGCGAAAGCCUGACCCAGCAACGCCGCGUGAAGGAUGAGGUAUUUCGGUAUGUAAACUUCGAAAGAAUGGGAAGAAUAAAUGACGGUACCAUUUAUAAGGUCCGGCUAACUACGUGCCAGCCGCCGCCGUAACAC